rnacentral:tRNA from 1 species
GCUUGGGUGGCUCAGUUGGUUAAGCAUCUGACUUCAGCUCGGGUCAUGAUCUCACCACUGGUGAGUUUGAGUCUCACAUCAGGCU